rnacentral:rRNA from 1 species
CCUACGGGGGGCAGCAGUGGGGAAUAUUGGACAAUGGGGGGAACCCUGAUCCAGCCAUGCCGCGUGUGUGAAGAAGGCCCUCGGGUUGUAAAGCACUUUCAGUGAGGAAGAACGCCUGGUGGUUAAUACCCAUCAGGAAAGACAUCACUCACAGAAGAAGCACCGGCUAACUCCGUGCCAGCAGCCGCGGUAAUACGGAGGGUGCGAGCGUUAAUCGGAAUUACUGGGCGUAAAGCGCGCGUAGGUGGCUUGAUAAGCCGGUUGUGAAAGCCCCGGGCUCAACCUGGGAACGGCAUCCGGAACUGUCAAGCUAGAGUGCAGGAGAGGAAGGUAGAAUUCCCGGUGUAGCGGUGAAAUGCGUAGAGAUCGGGAGGAAGACCAGUGGCGAAGGCGGCCUUCUGGACUGACACUGACACUGAGGUGCGAAAGCGUGGGUAGCAAACAGGAUUAGAUACCCCAGUAGUC